rnacentral:lncRNA from 1 species
GUGCCGGCUCACGAACAGGAUGCAGCCAGCUUCUUGGAACCUUGGGCACGGACUGCUAGAAAAUGGACCUGACCAGGAGACGCCCGCCACACACAGCCUUUGUCUUUCUGAGAGAACUGAUGGGAGGCCGCACAAGCUACUCAGGAAGCUGAGGUCCCAGAACAAGAAGAACUGGAGGAAGCUGGAUGGUGAGACUGGGAAGCACUUUAGUCAUUCAUUAAAUUGUUGCUGUUCUCAAGUUCGAUCUCCCACAGGAUUUCUGUUAUAGUUCCCUAACACAUCUGAUGAUAGCUGUCCUUCCCUAUACUCAAAGAUAGACACUGGUGUGUAUAGAUGUCACUCGUGGGCUCACUUCUGGAACCGACCUUCCCUCAGGAAGGACACCUGAUCGCCCAUGCCUUCCCGCCCAGGACCCUACCACACCUGUGCUGUGAGCUUCUUUGUCCUAACUCCCAAGCCCCCCAGCUUUAAAAGCUGUCUGACUGGCAUUCAUCAGUGGAAUCAAAAGUUCAGAUGUCAAGGACGCCAGACAGCACCCAGCAACCGCGGAGCAACACACGUGAAGUCUAGCUUCCUAACGCAAGUCUUUCUGCCACUAGCUAGAACACUUUAUGACACCGCCUGUCCCAGAAGUUCUGUGGGGCAGACAUGAAGGUAGAGGACUCUGGCCUCCACUGCUGAUGUGCUCUCACACACCUUUGAUCUUCUCUAGAACCUUCUAUCAGGUUUGCUUCUUCCCGAGGAAUAUCCUCUGGCUUCUUGCCAGCAAUCUGUCUCGAUGCUAUGGACUAAACUGCCCGUUAGCAAUUAGUCUGGACUUUAGUUGUUUUCGAAAGAUGAAUUGAGACGUAAUUUUCUAAUUAACAGUGGUUGUCAAAUAAAGGGGGACAAAGUCU